CCUACGGGAGGCAGCAGUGGGGAAUAUUGGACAAUGGGGGCAACCCUGAUCCAGCCAUGCCGCGUGUGUGAAGAAGGCCCUCGGGUUGUAAAGCACUUUCAGUGAGGAAGAACGCCUGGUGGUUAAUACCCAUCAGGAAAGACAUCACUCACAGAAGAAGCACCGGCUAACUCCGUGCCAGCAGCCGCGGUAAUACGGAGGGUGCGAGCGUUAAUCGGAAUUACUGGGCGUAAAGCGCGCGUAGGUGGCUUGAUAAGCCGGUUGUGAAAGCCCCGGGCUCAACCUGGGAACGGCAUCCGGAACUGUCAAGCUAGAGUGCAGGAGAGGAAGGUAGAAUUCCCGGUGUAGCGGUGAAAUGCGUAGAGAUCGGGAGGAAUACCAGUGGCGAAGGCGGCCUUCUGGACUGACACUGACACUGAGGUGCGAUAGCGUGGGUAGCAAACAGGAUUAGAUACCCCGGUAGUA
rnacentral:rRNA from 1 species